UAAGUGAACUACAACUCCCAAACUCAAAGUCAAUGCCCACCAAACCCGUCCCAUAUUUUCUGUUGGUCAUGAGAGUUCUGUGUGCCAAGUUUGGCUCAAUUCAUUGGUGGAAUUCAGAAAGCUCUUUGAUUGUAGGUGAACCAUAAAUCCCAGCAACUACAACUUUCAAAUGACAAAAUUGGGUAUGUGUGCGAAAUUUGGUCUAGUGAAUGAAAAUACAUCCUGCAUAUCAGAUAUUUACAUUACGAUUCAUAACAGUAGCAAAAUUAUAGUUAUGAAGUACCAAUGAAAAUAAUUUUAUGGUUGGGGGUCACCACAACAUGAGGAACUGUAUUAAGGGGUUGUGGCAUUAGGAAGGUUGAGAACCAUUGGUCUAGCUCAAUGCUGUGAAAUCAUGGGAGUUGUAAUUGAGUAAGAUACUAUCACUCUUUCAGAAGGAAAGCUACAGACCCUUUUAAAACUAUACCUCCCAGGAUUCCACAGCAUUGAGUCAUGGCAGAUAAAUUGGUGUCAAACUGCAUUCAUUCUACAGUAUAGAGGCAUUGUAAGUAUGAUCCAGCAAUCCAGAUAAAUAUCUAUCCUGGUAAAUGUCUUCAUGUCUCCAAUUAAGUAGGGGACAUCGUGCUGACACAUUGCUCUUGUGAUUGUUCAGCUUCACUCCCAACUUUGCCUUACCUCUGCCUGUUCUUUUGCAUGUAGGUAGGUAGGAUCUGUGACUCAUGAUCUGCAUAAACGUUUUAUUUCUAUGUCUUCUCAUCUCAUCAAAGUCAUUUAGGGCAGAACAAAGUUACUGUUUGGAUCCAAAUAAAUGCAUGCUUAUAAGGGAAACUACCUAUAGGGUUAUUUUAUCAAAGUCAUUUAGGGCAGAACUUACGGUGACUCUGCAGCAGAGAGGCAAACUUUUGUUUGCCCGCCCCCUCUCUCUCGGCGCUGAACUGGGCACGCCUCAACAGCGUCCCUAGGGGAUUAGCGCCACCCACAAAUGUGUACUUUGCUUAUAGCUUCAGCCGCCCCUGGGUGACACUAAGGUCAACCUAUUAUGGGGCUUCCUUGACAAGAUUUGUUCAAAGGCCUUUGGCUUCCUCUGAUGCUGAGAGAGUGUGAUCUGUCCAAUAUCACCUUAUAAGUUUCUAUGACUAAGAGGGGAUUUGAACCCUGGUCUCUAGAGUCAUCGUCCAAGGUGCAAACCCCACUACACUAUGCUGGCUCUUUUCUAAAAUAACUGUAAACCAAUUUAGGCCAUGGAUACCUCCCUGGCUCUUCAAUCUCAGUGUUUGUAAAGUGCUUCCUCCCCACAUUUUUAAAGUAUUUAUGAUCACCACACCGAUGAGUGUGUGGGGAUCAUUUAGAAGAGAGAUAAGGAAAGUUUUUGCCAUGUGAUCAGAGCGACCUUGACAGCAAGCGUGUAGAUACUGCUCUUCUAAAGUACAACACUGUAAUGUGAGAGGAUUAUACACAUUCCAGAAUCAAUAAAAGUAUCAAAUAUGUUUUGUCUUGACUUUUUCACCAUCUGCUCUUCUCUUGCACUUAAUGCAUUCUAGGGCCAGAAUAAUUUACAGUUUUCAGAUUCCAUUAGGCAGCAUGGCCAUUUGUAGUCCCAAAAGUUUAUUUGUGAAAUCCUGGAAUGACCAUGAAGACUAGAGAUUAUGGAAUAUAAAACCAGACUCUCUCUCCAGCCAUACCCACCAGUAAGACCCAAAGACAGUGAACAUGCUAGCAUCUUGUGAGAAUGUCGCAGGACAUCUUGAUCAGAUGUGGCCACUGGAUUGUAUACCUUCUCUGAAGUCUUUAAAUUGCUGAGCACUGCCAAAAAGCUUCCCUGAAACACCGGCAAUUACUUUUUCUGCUACUGCAGUAGAUGGCCAGUACAAGUAUGUAUUCAGUGUGUCACAAGCUGGGAAAUAAAUUCCACUUCCAAGGUCUUCUCAGUAAAGUUGGAGGAUUGCUUCAGAGCCUUUACUCCCUUUACACAGUUGGAGCAAGCCUUCCCAGGAGAAAUGAUUAAACCUUGUAUUCUACCUUACUGUAUACUCUUGUUAGAGAAAAAAUGGAUUAGUACAGUACUGUACUUUCAGUUUUUCUUUUUCACUGCAAAUUGCUACAGGGAAAGUCAAAGUGGCUUGGUUCAUAUCUAUAUUUUUUGGUGAGAUUAUCUUAGUUUUUAGAUCGCUCCCCUCCAAUUCUCAUUGUCAGGGUAGAAUUUAUAAAUAUGUUUUAAAGAUACAUACAUUUUGAAGAAGAAACUACUGACUGUAUAGUGAUUGCAGUCAGUGUGUAGCGCCGUUUGUGUUGGUUAUGAAAGAGCCAGUAGCCUGUGCUUCGUUGGUAUAAGUGCAAAGUCUCUAUUCACACAUUUUAAAAAGAAUCUUAGACAUUGGAAUGGAGAGGAAGGAUGUCCUACCUAAACUAUUCACAAACUAAUCAUCCUACUGAUAAAUCCCAUUCAAUUUAGAUCAUCAAUUUGGGACAUGCUGAGCUGAAUGCAGCUUCGUGUUGUGUCUUCUGAAUUGCCAGGUGGUUGGUAAUUUCCCUGUUUUCCAGCCUUGGGCAAGGAGCAAACGAUGAUUUUUUUCCAGGCCCCUAAUGGCUUGCCAUUAAUCACUGUGUCCACAGUCAUCUCUAGCCUGUUCUUCUCCCUGCUUACAUUAUCCCUUUGUACACGCCGCCGCUGUUGGAAUUAGUCAUCUUCAUGAGGCAUUAAGGUAAGAAGGACAAUUAAUUCCCAGCACCACAUGUCUCAGCUAAUGGAGAUUCAGAGGACAAAGCAAAGUCAUUAAAUGAUACCAGAUGAUACGGAAUGUGAUAGUACUCUCUGGCUGUUCUUCUGGGAAUAUAUCUUAAUGCAAAUAAUAUAUGAAUAUAUAAAAUGUGAGAUGAUUGAUUGCACAUAUCAAUGUGUAGUAGUGCCAUUUGGUGGAUGCAAUACCACUGUUCAAAGAGCUGUGUUCUAACGAUAGAGCCCUGUUGGAUCGGACUGAAAGUCUGAGUACCCUGGUAUUCUGUUCAUGUAUCUCUGUAUAUAGGAAGACAAUAAACAGAAAGUUAAGAAAAAAAGCCCACUGUCAUCAUUCUGUUGUCCAAAAUCUCAGGUCCUUCCCGGUGUGUGGCAGCUCCCAGAUGGUCCAAUGAAACCCACACAGCUGGAGUUGAAGAUGGAAAUAAAAAUCAGUUUUAUUCAGUUCUGGCUAGAGUGGACACAGGGGGCAGCCCCAAAUCCAGCAUGCUUUCUAAGUACAGACAUGGGCAUUAUAUAGAAAAGGUACACCCAUUUGAGAACAUGAGGAACAGAGGUGAUUGGUUGAUCCACAGUCCCUGUAUCCCAUGGAUGUUUCAUAACAAGCCUUUCCAUCACUGGAACCACCAUGGAGGAGUUACAAGGAUCUCCUAAUCUGUUCUACAUACUCAGCUGGUCCCAAUCCAAAUGGAGGCAUUAACCAGUUCAGGCACCCUCUUUCCAGAAUGAGAUAGGUAUCAUUUUUCACCCUCGGCCAAUUUUGCCCCUUGUUUCCCUUCCAAAGGGCCAUCCUAGACAACAGCAUGACUUCACUUCCAGAAGAAGAGGGACCCAACCAACUGUGGGAACUUCCCCAAACCAGACCCUUCAUAAUGGAUGUAAACUAACAAUAACAACAACAACAAAAGCAACAACAAUAAUGGAUGUAAAUAAUAAUGAAUGUAAGUAAUUAUGGAUGUAAAAGACUCCAGAAGUAUAUGCCUCAUUUUAGAUAUCAAAUAUUAGCCUUGAAGAUGUAGGGUGGUCUAAAGAAUAUUGGCUUCAUAACCUAGAAAUACAGAUACGUGUUUUAACUGGCAGUCGGGGCAUAGGAGGUCAACAUUUCCACCACCACUACCAGGCUUGGAUAAACAAGAAGAAUACAACAAUCAGAAGCAGGGUCUUCGUCACAAUUCCUUUUGCAGCCCUAAUAGCUGGUGUAAGGCUGAAGGAAACAUCUCAGAUGUCCAAUGGGCCUUCGUUCAUUGAAAUAUAUGAAGAGUAAUUGGGUUGAACAGGUUGUCUGUUCCUUUCAGCAGCAAGGGUCUCCACUGGGGAAGAACGUUGUUUUGGUGGAAACUUUUCUGUUGUUUCUGAUGGGGAGAAGCAUAAGAAACAAUGUGCAGAGUAGAGGUGUAAGAAGCCACCUUGGAGACUCCAGGAAAAUAUGACAUUUUCCUGAAGAUGUUCUUUUCAAAAAUCUCAGCAACACUUUGGGACUAGACAAAAUCAAAAACCAUUGAGCUGUGGAAAAGCAACCCAGUUGUCAAGCUUCUGAUUUAUCACCAUCAAAGAGCAAUAGGAAAAGAAAAGUAAAAGGCACUUCAAACAGGCCCAAAGAUGGAUCCUGAUAUACCCCAGGUUCCUCAAGUUCCAAGGUCAUCAAUCACUAGGUGGCCUGAGAAUAAGGACUCAUGUUCAAAAAUCUGGAAAUCUCCCAGAAGACAGCUGCUAGGAGCAGAGAGAGACGUCCAGUGAGAAGACAACUCUGGUUAUUCCAAGAACAAAUCCCCAAGACCUAAAAUAUGAGGGAGGUUCAUUCAACAGUGAAGGGCAAGGGAAGAACAGAGAGUCCAUCCCCCUGCUCCACACUUUGGGGAAGAAGCUUCCAUUCCUCCCCACAAAAUUUUCCCUCCCAGAUUAGACAUUAUCUGGAGACAUUUUAGAGAAACCACUGCUUACAGUGCCCGUUGUUGCAAGUCCCAUGAUUUACAAUGGCAUCAGCUGCUCUUUGUCACAAUCCAAAUAUACCAAGCCAAGUCACCUUCAGGGCAGAUAUAAAUAAGACAAGAGCAAGAGAGUCCUGGCCACAACACCCAAUAAUUCUCUCUUCUCUCCCAUCUCUUACAACAGGAAAAUGUGGAGGCCCACCAGGACUUCUUCACCCACCACUGGAAGAAGCAGUGCUCCUGGCUCAUUUGAUCCUCUUCCAUCCCUGCCUACAGAGGGGACACCCUCAUCCCCUGCAGGACCCGCCUUUUCCAGAGGAGCAGCAGUCACUUUGGGAGAGGAUGAAGUGCUAGGUGCAGAAGGCCAGGAAGGAGCUGGAUCAAGCUGAGAAGGUUUUGGUUCUUUGAGCAGAGGGAGAAGGGCGUGGAAAUUUCCAAGUAAUAGGGCUACCCUUCUUAGGGUAUUAAGGGCAGGCUUUGUCUCUUUGUGUGUGUGUCUCUCUCUCUGUGUGAAGGAGAUAGAAAAAGAUUAUUUGUAAAAGAAGAUUUUAGUCCAGAAAUCACCUCAAGGUGGUAUGCCCAAAAAACAUUUCUAUUGCCGGGUUGUUGCAUGUUUUCCGGGCUGUAUGGCCAUGUUCCAGAAGUAUUCUCUCCUGACGUCAGGAGAGAAUACUUCUGGAACAUGGCCAUACAGCCCGGAAAAGAUACAACAAUCCUGUGAUCCUGGCCAUGAAAGCCUUCGACAACACAUUUCUAUUGCCAUCUUCCAGGAAAAGAUCAAACAAGAUAUUUGCUAAACCACUUUAAUAAACUUAAUCAAUUGUUCCAGCCAAAGUGUCUCUUUUCAGAAUUGCCCAGCCUUUUCAAGAUGACACAUUUUAGUUCCAGAAAGAAAUCCUUGGGCACCACUUGAGCUUCCAUGGGCCAGUGUUAUAGAAUCAUGGGAGCUGAAGUUUCUUAAGGUCAUUUGCAUUCUCCAGUAAAGAGUUUUGGUGACUCACCAGAUUUCAAAUGGCAAGAUUCCAUGGCAGUUAAAGAAGUGAUUCCAUUUAAUCAACAUUUUGGUAAGAAAUACAUUCAUGCCUUUAAUUCUGGAGACCACAAAGAGCAGAAAGUGUUUCCUUAGCAUGACAUUCAGGUCUAUCUUUGGAGGAAAAAAGUUGUGAACAGAGAAAAUGGUGAGAUCAGGGUGGAGAGAGAGAUUGAGAGGGAGGGAGAGGGAGAGGGAUCCGUCAUGUUCCCAAUCCAUACUCUGAACCAUCUGUCCUAGGAGGAGAAAUUCCAAAUCCACAUUGAAAUGGUUGACUGGGUUGGAAACAUCAGCAGCAAGGUCUUCCUUUUCCUGUGUGUAAGGAGGAAGAUGAAGGAUUCAUAUAUUCAAAGGCUGAUCCAAACAAGCAGCUUGCAAAGUGGGGUUGUCCACCAAGAAAGCUGCCAGAGUCCUCAUCCCCCCCUUGUCAGUUCUUUAGACAUGCUCUGGAUUAACUCUUCUUCCAAUGGCCAUCAUGGAAUCUCCCAUUCUGAGAACCUGUGACGGCAGUUCUUCUCCUGGCCCCUCCCUUCCCACUUCCAGGGUUACUAUAGGAACAGAAACAAACAAUUCUGUUCACCAUCAUACUUCAACUGCUCACUCCUUACCGGACACUCAAAGAGAGAGAGAUCAGGAGCUGAAUGUGAGCAGAGCUUUGGGAUCAGCAUGGUAGAAAGAGGAAUAUUUAGAUGUUUCACUUAUUCUCAGAGUUAACCCAGAUAAAAGCUAACCGUUGGUUCAUGUUUGAAGAAAGGAUGAAGACAGGUUAGGGAAGAGAAAGCUCUUGAGAAUGGAUGCUCCAGCACAGUAAGCCAGGGUGGCAUUGGUUCAGAGACCAUUCUCCCUGCCAGCUGGAGCUCUUCACCAGGAAAAGAAAUCUGACUGUUCAUUAUUUCUAUGUAUGGGAAGAAUAACUGAGAUGAACUGGUGCUUGAUGCUUCUCUUUCUGCAUCAACUGCCGCCUCUCCUGGAAGCCUCCCCUUGGGCUUUGAUGGGGAGAAGAGGAAGAAGUGAGGCCAGAGGAGAGAGAGUGAGAAUCCAUCUGGGAGUCUAACCAGGAAAAGAAAUGUCAUGUCCCAUGAAGGAGAGACCUCUGAGGGAGGCUCAUGUAACAUAAAUGUGCAAGGGAAGAAAGGGGAAGAAAAGCCCACUUGUGUUGAUCCUGCGCACCUAACCUCCAGGACCAAUGUGAUGCAGCAGAUGCUGGAGUCCAUCCAGGUCUUCCUUCCUCUGAAGAAGAGGUUCCCAUCCCAUCUGGCUCAUCAUGGAGGAGCAGCAGCCCAUUCAGGAGACGAGGAAGCGCCGGUUUCAGAAGGCUAGGGAAGAAGCGGCCUGCUAGAUCACACCGGGCAGGGUCUGCUUCUUUGAACAAAGGCUAUAGGCAAGGCCGGAACUUGGCACCAUCCAUGGAAAGUUGGAGGCAUGUAGUAUCCCAUGUAGGGGGAAAACCAAUGAUCUCACCCAGAAGUCCAGCCACUUCGUAUGCUUUCUUCUGCUCAAUGGUCUCAUAGUUCAGAGCUUCAAAGAAAAUGUCCAGCACCAGGAUGUUCUCCCUGCAUGAGAGGAAGAGAGGAGGAAGAUACUCAUCUUGCUGAAUAUCCAGCAUGAUCUCCAAGCCGUUCCCAGUUCCUCCUUUCAUGGUGAUGAGUGGUGGCUUGUCAGGCUGACCUGAGUUGAACGUGUAGCACUUUCCAUAGCGUGUGAACACCUGCCGAAGAAAAAGUACAUGGAUUAAACCAGGAGCCAAACUCGCCUGUGGAGUCUUGCCAGUUCUGCCAGCUGGGGAUAAUAGAGAUAUAGGCACAGCAGAGAAGCACUGACCCAUUCCACUUUGCAGUGGGAUAGAUGAAUGUGUCCCAGUCAUUUUCUUUCUCUUGUGAUUAUUUCCCCUCAGUUGCAUAAUUACUUCAUCCUGUUUCUGCAUCAUUUUGCAAUUUUUAAGCAAUUCAUUAAAAGCCUGGACCAAAAUAAGGGAGGACAAGACCAAAGCCACACUAUUUGCAUAGUCCUCUCCCUAGGUACACACUUGUGUGUGGUUUCUCCUACCAAGCAAUUUCACUUAUAAAUGCAUUUUGGAGUACUUUUUUCUACAACAUGGUCAUUUCAAAAUAUGCCAGUAUUUUUGACCAAAUAUCUGCAUUUUUGUAUGCAUUUUAAAAAUGAAGAAAGGUACUGUUUUUCUCCAAAGUGCAGAAACAGGCAACUCCUGUCAUUAUUGAAUACAUCCUGCUUUGGAAUUGUGAAAUUUGAUCAGUUCUUAUGAAAUAAAGUGGAAAGCAAACAACAUCCUUUCACUAUCCUUACUCUGCAUUGACUUAGAGCUCAAGGACAUGGCUUCACAUUCACCGUCAGUUUCAGCACCAGGGAUAGUUACAGCCUACAAAGCUUCAGUAAUUUCCCUAAUUAUAGGCCUUUCCCAAUGGAAUACGAGGCAGUCUUGAAAUCACAGAAAUACAGAGGACAGACACAUCAGCUGCCUGAGAGGUCUUCGAUGAGAGUCGUGGGAAUGGAAUGCAUCAUAGAAGCAAACUGGAGCAAAAUCCCGCUCAAAGAAACACCAAGUUAUGAGUUAAGUUUUUUCAGGUAACAAAGGUCACAACUUGUUUAUUGGUUACAGCUGAUUGCAAAGGAUGGCAGCCACAGAUGGGUCCUGGAUCAAACAUGGACCAGCCCGUGUGCUUUUUGUGUGUGUCAGGAGUGACUUGAGAAACUGCAAGUCUCUUCUGGUGUGAGAGAAUUGGCUGUCUGCAAAGAUGUUGCCCAGGGGAAGCCUGGAUGUUUUGGUGUUUUUUUCCAUCCUUGUGUGAGGCUUCUCUCAUGUCCCCACAUGGGGAGCUGGAGCUGACAUAGGGAGCUCAUCUGCACUCUUCUUGAAUUCGAACAGGCAACCUUCAGGUCAGCAACACAAACUGCAAGUCAGCAGUCCCGCCGGCACAAAGACUUAACCCAUUGUGCCACCAGUGGCUCCAGCCCAUUGCUGAGCUGAUGGCAGUGCUCCACAUGAAUGGUUUGAAGCCAAAAGGCCAAAUUGAACACUUUUAUCUUGUUCCCACUGCAACAGCAGUUGCCGUCCAGCCACCAGUCUGGGCCCACCUGCACAGCCAUGUUCACCAGCACAUAGCUGGGGAGAUACGCCAAUACUGGGUGUAACCAAAACAGAAAAACAAUAAUAGGAGAAAAGAGAUGGGUGGGCAGGGAGAGAACUCGAAGGAGACUAAGCUCCAGGGUUGGGGGUGCCCAGGCCUGUAGCGAGGGGGGGGGGUGUUUAGGGGUUCAACCCCCCCCCCCGAAAUUUUUCAUGUUAUAAAAAAAACCUGGUUUACUCAUGAAUUUUAACUGGUUAACCAAAUCCCCAUGCUAAGUCUAUGAGAUACAAAACAUUAAGAGUCCCUCCAGGCACUAUCUCAAGCAGAUAUUGACAGGUUUGUAGCGGGGAGGGGUGUGUGCUAGGGGUUAACCCCCCCCCCCCCGAAAUUUUCAAAA